UACGGAGGGUGCAAGCGUUGCUCGGAAUUACUGGGCGUAAAGGGUGCGCAGGCGGUUCGUUAAGCCAGAUGUGAAAGCCCCAGGCUCAACCUGGGAAUAGCAUCUGGAACUGGCAGACUUGAGUUCGAGAGAGGGUAGUGGAAUUCCUGGUGUAGAGGUGAAAUUCGUUGAUAUCAGGAGGAACACCAGCGGCGAAGGCGGCUACCUGGCUCGAUACUGACGCUGAGGCACGAAAAGCGUGGGGGAGCAA
rnacentral:rRNA from 1 species